UACGUAGGGUGCGAGCGUUUAAUCGGAAUUACUGGGCGUAAAGCGUGCGCAGGCGGUUAUUUAAGUCAGGUGUGAAAGCCCUGGGCUUAACCUAGGAAUUGCGCUUUGAGACUGGAUAGCUUGGAGUGCGGCAGAGGGAGGUGGAAUUCCACGUGUAGCAGUGAAAUGCGUAGAGAUGUGGAGGAACACCGAUGGCGAAGGCAGCCUCCUGGGAUAACACUGACGCUCAUGCACGAAAGCGUGGGGAGCAAACAGG
rnacentral:rRNA from 1 species